GUUCAGGUAGCACAGUGGUAGUGGCGGGAGAUUGCAAUAAGGUUUGGUUCGUCCGCCUAACACAUCUCCAGGUCAUGGGUUCGAAACCCAUCCUGAACU